rnacentral:rRNA from 1 species
CAGGACGAACGCUGGCGGCGUGCCUAAUACAUGCAAGUAGAACGCACAGUUUAUACCGUAGCUUGCUACACCAUAGACUGUGAGUUGCGAACGGGUGAGUAACGCGUAGGUAACCUGCCUGGUAGCGGGGGAUAACUAUUGGAAACGAUAGCUAAUACCGCAUAAUAUUAAUUAUUGCAUGAUAAUUGAUUGAAAGGUGCAAUUGCACCACUACCAGAUGGACCUGCGUUGUAUUAGCUAGUAGGUGAGGUAACGGCUCACCUAGGCGACGAUACAUAGCCGACCUGAGAGGGUGAUCGGCCACACUGGGACUGAGACACGGCCCAGACUCCUACGGGAGGCAGCAGUAGGGAAUCUUCGGCAAUGGACGAAAGUCUGACCGAGCAACGCCGCGUGAGUGAAGAAGGUUUUCGGAUCGUAAAGCUCUGUUGUAAGAGAAGAACGGGUGUGAGAGUGGAAAGUUCACACUGUGACGGUAUCUUACCAGAAAGGGACGGCUAACUACGUGCCAGCAGCCGCGGUAAUACGUAGGUCCCGAGCGUUGUCCGGAUUUAUUGGGCGUAAAGCGAGCGCAGGCGGUUAGAUAAGUCUGAAGUUAAAGGCUGUGGCUUAACCAUAGUACGCUUUGGAAACUGUUUAACUUGAGUGCAGAAGGGGAGAGUGGAAUUCCAUGUGUAGCGGUGAAAUGCGUAGAUAUAUGGAGGAACACCGGUGGCGAAAGCGGCUCUCUGGUCUGUAACUGACGCUGAGGCUCGA